rnacentral:tRNA from 1 species
GCCGAAGUGGCGGAACGGUAGACGCGGCGGUCUCAAAAACCGUUGGGGUAUCCACUCCCCGUGUGGGUUCAAAUCCCUCCUUCGGCACCA